AAGUCGUAACANGGUUUCCGUAGUGAACCUGCGGAAGGAUCAUUAUCGUAUAACAGGAGGUGCCGAGGUUGUCGCUGACCCCUAGGUCGUGCACACCCCGAGCAUUCUUACUCCUCAUCCACCUCACCCCUUUGUGCAUCCCCGCGUGGGCUUUCUCUUUCGAGAGCCGGCGUCUCUUUCACAAACACAAAAGCAGUUUAGAAUGUUCUUCGCAUUUGUAUGCAGUUAAUACAACUUUCAACAGCGGAUCUCUUGGCUCUCGCAUCGAUGAAGGACGCAGCGAAAUGCGAUACGUAAUGUGAAUUGCAGAAUUCAGUGAAUCAUCGAAUCUUUGAACGCACCUUGUGCCCCCUUGGUAUUCCGAAGGGCACAACCGUUUUGAGUGUCGUGAAGGUUCUCAACCUUCUUCAUUUCUUUUUUCGACUUGGAGAAAGGCUUGGAUUUUGGAGGCUUUUUGCUGGACUUUUAGAGAUCAGCUCCUCUUAAAUGGAUUAGCAGGAUCCCUUUCUUUGCUGGUCCUCGACGUGAUAAGGCUUCUUCUACGUCUGGAACUUAGCUACGAGGCCCGCUUCUAAUCGUCUCUCUGAGACAAGUUUGGUCAGACCUCCCUCUGACCCGUGAACCCCUUUGUACCUCAUAUCGGGUGAGACUACCCGCUGAACUUAA
rnacentral:rRNA from 1 species